rnacentral:tRNA from 1 species
GAGGGUAUGGCUCAGUGGUAAAGUGCAUGCUUAGCACGCACCAGGUCCCGGGUUCAACCCCUAGUACCUCCA